rnacentral:rRNA from 1 species
UACGUAGGCAGCGAGCGUUGUUCGGAGUUACUGGGCGUAAAGGGUGUGUAGGCGGUUGUUUAAGUUUGGUGUGAAAUCUCCCGGCUCAACUGGGAGGGUGCGCCGAAUACUGAAUGACUUCGAGUGCGGGAGAGGAAAGUGGAAUUCCUGGUGUAGCGGUGAAAUGCGUAGAUAUCAGGAGGAACACCGGUGGUGUAGACGGCUUUCUGGCCUGUUCUUGACGCUGAGGCGCGAAAGCUAGGGGAGCAAACGGG